rnacentral:rRNA from 1 species
UACGAAGGGGGCUAGCGUUGCUCGGAAUCACUGGGCGUAAAGCGCACGUAGGCGGAUUGCUAAGUCAGGGGUGAAAUCCUGGAGCUCAACUCCAGAACUGCCUUUGAUACUGGCGACCUUGAGUCCGGGAGAGGUGAGUGGAACUGCGAGUGUAGAGGUGAAAUUCGUAGAUAUUCGCAAGAACACCAGUGGCGAAGGCGGCUCACUGGCCCGGGUACUGACGCUGAGGUGCGAAAGCGUGGGGAGCAACAGGAUUAAGAA